UGGAACCACCUGAUCCCAUUCCGAACUCAGAAGUGAAACGAUGCAUCGCCGAUGGUAGUGUGGGGUUUCCCCAUGUGAGAGUAGGUCAUCGUCAAGCU
rnacentral:rRNA from 1 species